AUCUCGGUGAAGCUUUAAGG
rnacentral:snRNA from 1 species